AUUGUUGCAUCAAUCUUGACAAAAGCAGCGCAUGAUGAAGGUCUUAAGUUUUUUCCUUUAAAGCUGUUGAAACAUUCAGUAAAUCAAAUGUCAGAAAACUAUUAUUAAUCUUCUCAUCACACUUCCUGAGCUGGUGAGUUGUUUCUGUGAUAUGUGUGAGAAGUAAUCGUCUUACACAUUUCAUGUCCUGGAUACUUUUGUUAUACGAUUUAAUAAUAAUAGUAAUAAUAUAAAGAAAAAAUAUAUCUAUUUAAAAAUAUCAAAUUUUAACAUAAAAAAUUGAAGAUAGGUAUUUAUACUCUUAAUGUACUGCAUGCUGUAACCUUCAGUGUGACGUUUUUAUUUCUCUUUACAGCUCAUAUUCACGAUCCUAAACAAAGCAAAGCAAACAUGACAUUUAGAUCUUAAGUUUUACUAACUAACCCCCUGCUGGGGCAGAAAACCAGACAGGAAGUGCCAUGACAACAUGCUGUGUGCUGCCAGCUCUGUUUUGAUUCAAAAGGCAACAGUACAUUAAAAUACAUUUCAGUAACGGUUGAUAUAAAUGAGCUUUAAUUUUAAGCAAACUUUUGACCUAACAUGGCAUUUAAGCUGUAAUGUUGAGAUGUGCAGAGGGAAUUCUAGUUUGUGUUCUGUUGUUUCAAAGUGAAAAAAAAGUGUUACAUCCUCUUGAACCACUUUGAGAGAUGACAGUUUGUGGUUUGAGUUGCCCAAAAAAGUUCAGACACUUGAGACUUUCUGUUCAGAGCAGCAGCAGCAGAUGUUGCAUCGACAAGCAGGUCAGAUGGACGCAGUGAGAAUCAACCUUUUACUGCUUCUGCUGCGUUUUGUUUGCUUUUUGGAUGCUGAAGCGACUCUUGUAAAAACUGUCGGGAAAGAAUCUGAUUUCACUCCAAUCUGCACCAAUGAAACAUCAAACGUCAUCAUGUUGAUCAUUUGUAAGAUCAGAACAGAGGAACAAUAGAGAGGAGUGCAGCCUGCGGUAUAAGGAUGGAGGUGACUUUGUUCAUGAGUGUGACUCCAGAUUCUCACUAAAAACCAGGAAUCAAACUGUGUUUCUGCACCUGACCAGUUUAACAGCAGCUGAUAGUGGGAACUACUCCUGUCAGUGUGCUAAUCUUCAUGUAACGCAGUUUCUCUAUCUCAGAAUCAUAGUUAAUGGUGAGUGGAUCUAUAUAAAUGUUAUGUCAAACUCAUAUGAACCAUAUAUUCUCUAACAAUGUUUGUUUUAUUUCCAAUAGAAUCAAAUCCUGAUAAUAAUCCAGCAGAUGAAGUUUGGAGCCAGUCUGCAGCAGUAACUCUUUCUUCUGCUUUGACUGCUGCAGUUCUAAUGAUCAUGGUUUCAGUUAUUCUAGAGUUUAUAUACAGAAGAUGUUCACAGCGAUGAGACACUAAUGCAGUAUUCAUAAUUUCAUCCUUUGCCUAAAUAUCAGCUUCACAUCUAAAACUGCAUAUUUUAAUUUUUACUCAUGAUCUACUCUAUGAUAUUUUAUCUAAGUUGUUAUUUCUUUGGAUACGUUUGGCUAAACUCUGCCUGGAAAAAAAAAUAUACUAUCACACUAAUCUGGAAUUUUUUUGUAAUAUUUUCUGUUUUAGAUCUGAAACAUCUGGAUCAUCUGCUGCUGAUAUUGGUGAAGACAACACAGGUGAACUGUACACGCGUCUCCAGUGGCCAACAACAGACAUCUACCAAACUGUUUCAUCAGCAAGAAAAUAAAUCAAACUCGGCUAACGACAUCAUGACCGACGACCUGGAACAUCUGGAAAGGCACAGGAAUUGUAAUAUUUCUGAAAACUUCUGGACCAAUAAUCUGAGAUUAAUAAAAUCUGCUUUAUUCCAGUAAUUGAAAUUUCAAGUGUAUUUCAACUCACAAUGAUCAGUCUCUGAUGGAUGUUUGUUGCAUUUUUCUGCCUGGUUGUGAACAUGUUGGUGUGAAAGUGUUGCAUUGAGAAACAGGGACCUGACCUACAUCAAUCUGUUCCAGGACGCUUUCUUCUCUUCCAGCUCACAGUCGAGCUUCAAAAUAUAUAAAGACAACAAAAUAAACAUGACGUAGAUUUUAUCUCGUCUUAUUUAGCCCCUACAGAUACAGGAAAAGCGGCAGGAAGUCCUGCCGACCACAAGUUGCACGGUUGGGUUUGCAUUUAUCUGUGUCAAUGUCUGAUAUAAGAUGCUACAUUACAGAAAAGUACCAUUUCUUCUCGGUAAUAUAAAUAAGAGUUGAUUGUUUUGGUUUGAAGCAAACUUUUGACACAACAGAACAACUAAACAGAUGCAAAUAUACCUGCAGUUUGUCUGCUCUGUUGUUUCAAAGAGCAGUGGUCAAAGUGGGCGCGUUUUCUUUUCGGAAAAAGUGUCUCAACCUCGUGAAGCACUUUGAAAGAUGAAAAUUUGUGGUUUGAGUCGCCCAAAACGUACAGACAGUUCAGACGGCCUCAGUUCAGAGCAGCAGCAGACGUUGCAGUCACAGGGAAGUUAAAUGGAUGCGAUGAAAAUCACCUUUUUACUGCUUCUGCCAUGUUUCGUGUGGCUGUUGGACGGCAAAGCACCUCUUGUGAAAUCGAUCAGGAAAGGAUCUGAUUUCACUCCAAUCUGCACCAACGAAACAUCAAAUAUCAUCAUAUUGAUCAUUUGUAAGAUCAGAACAGAGAGGAACAAUGGAGAGGAGUGCAGUCUACGGUAUCAGGAUGGAGGUGACUUUGUUCAUGAGUGUGACUCCAGGUUCUCACUGAAACCCAGGAAUCAAACUGUGUUUCUGCACCUGACCUGUUUAACAGCAGCUGAUAGUGGGAACUACUCCUGUGAGUGUUCAAAUCUUCAUGGAACAUAUUUUCUUCAUUUCAGCAUCACAGUUAAUGAUUCGAAUCCUGACGAUCAUUCAUCAGAGGAAGUUUUGAGUCAAUCUGGAGUGAUUCUUACUUCUGCUGCAGUUCUCCUACUUAUCAAAGUUUCAGUCAUUCUGGUAUUUAUUCACAGAAGACAUUCACUAAGAUCCAAAACAUCUGGAUCAUCUUUACAUGGAUCAGCUGCCACUAUAGAUGACGAUAACUCUAAUGAGCUGUACGUAAAUCUCCAGGCCAUCCAGAGACCUCUAUCAAACCGUCUCCUCAAACUCUGCCAAGAAGAAAGUCACCCGCGGCCUGGAAAAACUGGGAAAGAGCAGGAAUAUUUAUGAAAACUGAAAAUCUGUCAGGAUAGAUACAGUUUGAUUUACAUUAGGCUGAAUUUUCUUAUGAUUUACUGUUUUAAUUUACCUCUUUGUGUGGACAGAAUCAGGUUCAUUCUCACGUUAUUGACUAUUAGGAACAGAAAGUGCCAUUUCUGUCUUUACAAACCUGUUAAAACACUAUUAGUGCAUUUGCUGCAUGGGACUUAUGUACAUAUAAAAUCUGCUUAUUAUUUGUGUAUUAAUAUGUUAUGUUUUUCAUUUCUCUUGCUUGAAAACGUAUGGGUUAUAUGACAUCACUGAUCUGCAGUGGUGUCCAAACGUUUUUGUCAUGAUGGCCAAAAUCAUCUGAGUGACAAAAACUCUCAGCCAAAAAUACAUUUUAAGAAAAUGCAUAAGAAUUCCUUUAAGUUUGUCUUGCUUUCGUCUUUUAUUGAAACAUUAAGGCAGUCUAUUUUGUUGUUUUUGUUGGACUAAAAAAUGGGCCCAUUUUACAUCAACCUGCAGCAGGGAGGUGUCUUCUCUUUGCAACUCACAUUCAAAACUGUAAAACUGUCAAGACCACAAAGCAAACAUGACAUUUAGAUCUUCUAUCAUGCCACCAGCUUUGUUCUGGCGUAAGAUGGUGGCUUUGCCAGAACAAAGGAAAACGUGUGAAAAACAUGUUUUCUGUGUGCAGAAAACACGUUUACAAUCGCUGAGAAUAGUUGAUUGUUUUGGUUUUAAGCAAACUUUUGACCUAACAUGGUUUUUAAACUGUAGUGUUGAGAUGUGCAGAGAUAAUUCUGGUUUGCGUUCUGUUGUUUCAAAGUGACACUGUUAUGUAGACGCGUUUCCUUUUCAGAAAAAAGUCACAUCCUCUUUGAGACAUGAGAAUUUGUGGUUUAAAAGUUUAGAGGACAGUUGAGACAUCCUCUGUUCAGAGCAGCAGCAGCAGAUGUUGCAUCAAUAAGCAGGCCAGAUGGACGCAGUGAGAAUCGACCUUUUACUGCUUCUGCUGCGUUUUGUUUGCUUUUUGGAUGCUGAAGGUAAAGCACAAAGUCUAAUUUUCUUUCAAUUGAGUCUUGAAUUGUUUUUCACUAAAUUUUUAGUUUCUGUCAACCUUAGUUUCAUUUGUUCUAUCAUUUAAAAUUCCACUCUUACAGCAAUCAGUUUCUCAUUCUUUGGUCUUAACUUCUUGCAGUGACUCUUGUGAAAACAAUCGGGAAAGAAUCUGAUUUCACUCCAAUCUGCACCAACGAAACAUCAAACGUCAUCAUAUUGAUCAUUUGUAAGAUCAGAACAGAGAGGAACAAUAGAGAGGAGUGCAAUCUACGGUAUCAGGAUGGAGGUGACUUUGUUCAUGAGUGUGACUCCAGAUUCUCACUAAAAACCAGGAAUCAAACUGUGUUUCUGCACCUGACCAGUUUAACAGCAGCUGAUAGUGGGAACUACUCCUGUCAGUGUUCAAAUCUUCAUGGGACGUAUUUUCUUAAUCUCAGCAUCACAGUUAAUGAAUCAAAUCCUGAUAAUAAUCCAUCAGAUGAAGUUUGGAGCCAGUCUGCAGCAGUGACUCUUCCUUCUGCUUUGACUGCUAUGGUUCUACUAAUGAUCAUAGUUUCUGUUAUUCUAGUAUUUAUAUACAGAAGACGUUCAAAUCGAGGACAACCAGAAUCAUGCAGAGAUGAUCUAGAGGAGGAUUUGACUGAAAUUGAGCCGUACAGCUCCUACACUCAGAAGGAAAACUCACUUUAUUCAACAGCCACGUUGCACAGCUGUCAAAUUAAUUCUGACUAUGCAAAUAUUUUCUCUUGAACAGACAAAUUUGCCUUCACAGCCCAUGGCUGCCGUUUAAUUUGUGUUUACGGUUAUUUCCUUGUAGUUUAUUUAUGUCCAAUAUGUCUUGCCAAACUCAGUAAAUGUCUUUGUAUUCAUUAAUGCUGUUGCCAUAUAAGCUCAUUCAUUUGUGUUUCGUUUCUUAUGUUGUGUCAUUUGUGCAGUUGGGUUUAAUUCUCUCAGAUCACUGUGAUUUUUUUAUUUAUUUUCCCAUCAUUAAAAACUCUGGUCUUUUUGCCUCAGAAACUAGAACAUUUUGUCCAAUUUAAUGUUGGAUGAGGGCAAAAAAUGUUUUUUUUUUUAUUGUGUUCUUGAAUAUAGCUGAUGCAAAUAUCUUGUUUUACUGUAUUGAGUUUUAUGAGUGAAGUACUGCCUAAUGUCCGCCAGGUGGCUCUCUUGCACCUUCAACACUUUUUUUUUAUUGCCGUGAUCUCAACAAAUGUAUCCUUAAUAUUUAUAUAAUGUUUAUUUUUCGGUAGCCUCAUGCUCCUUCAAAAUAAAACACCGGAAAUCGGAAAUCUAUUUCUAUAUCCGGAAUAGGAAUAAAUUCCUAUAACAUAUGAUAUGCUAGAUGUAUAGCAAUAAAACAUAUUGUUUAGCAAU